rnacentral:rRNA from 1 species
CCUACGGGAGGCAGCAGUGAGGAAUAUUGGUCAAUGGGCGCGCGCCUGAACCAGCCAAGUCGCGUGAGGGAAGACGGUCCUAUGGAUUGUAAACCUCUUUUGUCGGGGAGCAAAAGACGCCACGCGUGGCGUUCCGAGAGUACCCGAAGAAAAAGCAUCGGCUAACUCCGUCCCAGCAGCCGCGGUAAUACGGAGGAUGCGAGCGUUAUCCGGAUUUAUUGGGUUUAAAGGGUGCGGAGGCGGACGAUCAAGUCAGCGGUAAAAGUGAGAGGCUCAACCUCUUCGAGCCGUUGAAACUGGUAUUCGUGAGUGAGUGAGAAGUAUGCGGAAUGCGUGGUGUAGCGGUGAAAUGCAUAGAUAGCACGCAGAACUCCGAUUGCGAAGGCAGCAUACCGGCGCUCAACUGACGCUCAUGCACGAAAGUGUGGGUAUCGAACAGGAUUAGAUACCCUUGUAGUC